rnacentral:rRNA from 1 species
UACAGAGGUCCCAAGCGUUACUGAGAAUCACUGGGUUUAAAGGGUGCGUAGGUGGUCCGUUAAGUCAGUUGUGAAAUCCCCGGGCUCAACCCGGGAAAUGCUUCUGAUACUGGCGGACUUGAGGCCAGUAGGGGUCACUAGAACUGACGGUGGAGCGGUGAAAUGCGUAGAUAUCGUCAGGAAUGCCGGUGGCGAAGACGGGUGACUGGGCUGGUUCUGACACUGAGGCACGAAAGCGUGGGGAGCGAACGGG